rnacentral:lncRNA from 12 species
CGCGCAGCGGCGGCCGCUUCCAUUGGAGUCGCGCUGCGCCGCCCGCGUCACUGGGGUCGCGUGUGGCGUCUCGGGGGCGCCGGGCUCGCGUCGUGCGGCCGCCGCGGUGCGCCCGGUCAGCUGGCUCCGGGGCCCGGAGGUGCCGAAGCUCCGGCAGCGGGAGGCGAGCGUCGGGGGAGGGGCGCAGGCGGAGUGCAGGCGGGCCGAGCGGAGCUGGCGGGCCCGGCGGGCCUGGGGACGCCGCUCGGAGUGAGCACACGGAUGUGUUCAACAUGGAGCUGAGCAGAGGAAGCUUGAGACCGAGUUUUGCGGGAAGAAAUUGGAGGCAAAAGAGAAAUAAGGCAUUUGGUGGCUCUAAAAGACAUCAUGCCGGAGCACAGGGAUAGCUCUGGAACUUUUCACAUAGUAAAACUACAGAGAAAAGUUGGACUUUUCCUGGGAAUGGUGUCCCACCGGAAGACAAUACUGUAGAAAGUACAGAGGAAUGAGUGGUAAGACUGGGGUUGAGGGGAGAUUGGGAAGAUCUCUGAAGGUUGCUGAGUAACAGCAGUAGGGUAACUGCUCUGAAACAGGCAGGACAAAGAUCUUGGUUAGUUAAAAGCCUAACACAUUACUUUGAAUCAUUAAUAAUCUUUCUGUUAAUAUUAUGUCUUGAGAAAUUCAGUGUUGUAAAAUAAGAUGUCUGAGAGAACGUGGUGCAAGUUGUUCUCAGUCUGCGUAAUACGGAUAGUGUAGCUUCCAAAAGCACCAUGACUCAGUAUUCUUAAAGUCCUUCUUGAGUGAUAGAUGCGUGAAUUAAAACAUUUCAUACUUUCUAUGCUAAAAUAUUCAAAGCAUGUUUUCCGAUUUUGCCAUUGGUACAAAAAUGUACACAAUAUGCUCUUCUGCUGUUACAAGAUUUCAUUUGAAAGUGGCUAACUUUACAUAAUUGGUGUUGUACCACAACUAAAAGUCACAUACAGUGCCAUGUUCUUGUUCAAUAUCUUAAAAUAUUUUCGGAAGUCUAUGGAGAGGUUUUGUUAAAGUGUGUUAUGCCACUGAUCAUUGAAUUAAUAGGUGCUUUGCUAUAGGCUUUAAAAUUUUGUAAAAAAAUUUCCCCUAAGACCCUAGUCACGAAUUAAAUGGUUUUAUGAAUAUCUGGAAGUGGGAUCUAAGUGAUGGGGGUGAAAAGGAAAAAGCUCAUGAUAGGGAAUUAUAAUUUAUUAAAUACCCUCUAUUUACCUGGGUCUCAAUAUAGUUAUAUAUAGUUAUCUCAAUAUAGUUAUUGUUAUCCUUAGUUCUCAAAACAGACUUUGGAAGUAGACAUUAGUGACUACGUUUUAUAGGUAAGGUGAUGGAAGCAUGACAGGUUAAGUAAAUAGCUGUCAGGUGAAAAAUAUGCGUGUGUUUAUAUGUUUGUGAUAGGCAGAGAGGAAAGAGUUGGCCAACUGCAUAGCAUCACGAUGAAGUUAUCUUUCCGCAGGAGAUCGUUCCUGGGAUAUUUAUAUCUCUCUAUAGAAUCAAAAGCAAACUCGUUGUGGAGAUUAGAAAAAGCUGUGAUUAAUCAUCUUGUGAAUAAUUACUAAUAAUCACUUUAUGCCGUUUAUGUUCAUGUACAUUUUUUUUAAAGAUUUUAUUUAUUCAUGAGAGACAGAGAGAGAGAGAGGCAGAGACACAGGCAGAGGGAGAAGCAGGCUCCAUGCAGGGAGCCUGAUGUGGAACUUGCUCCCAGGACCCAGGGAUCACCUCCUGGACCAAAGGCAGAUGCUCAACCACUAAAACACCCGGGUGCCACCAUAAGAGACUCUGAAAGGAAGUAAGUAGGGUUUCUGGAGGGCAGAUGGGUGGUGGAUGGGGUAACUGGGUGAUGGACAUUAAGGAGGACACAUGAUGUAAUGAGCACUGAGUGUUUUAUAGAAGACUGAUGAUGAAUCACUGACUCUACUUCUGAAACUAGUAAUACAUGUUAAUUAAUUGAAUUUACAUUAAAAAAGGGAUGAGAAGAUUUAAAAAAAAGUCACUUCCUCACAGAGUCAGUUCUAGAUGAUGUACUGUUCUAUUGUGUUACUCUUGUUUUUUUCUUUAUAGUACUUAACCAUAGUUAAGAAAUUGUUAUUUAAUUACAGGGAGAUGGUCUGAGGAAGUGUGAGGUGUGUUAGUAGGAUGCCUCCUAGAAAGGAUAGUAACUUGCAUUGUGAUUCCAGGGGCAGAACACUGUCGCCGGCUGAGUCUACCAUAUAUAAGAGAGUGUUAAUGCCUAUUUGAUGGCACUGAUAUGAAGACAAUUUGAUUGCAGUCCUUAUCUUUCCUUUAGAAUCUAAGCUCCAUGAGGUCAAGAAACCCUAAUUUUCUUGGUAACCUCCAUAUCUAGUAGUUAGAACAGUAUCUGGCACAAAGUAAACAAUCUAUUAAUUUAUCGAACAAAUGAGAUUUUUGUCAUUUUUUUAACUGAAGAAAUUAUUUUAAAAAUUCCAAGAAAUCAACAAAAUAACUUCUAGAAAACAGUUCAGCAAGGUCUCAGGAUACAAAAUAAUAGACAAAAAUCGAUUAUACUUUAAUAUACUAGCAAUGAACACAUGGAAACCAAAAUAAAAAAUGUAAUACUAUUUACA